UUUCUACUCCCUCCGUCCGAAAAUACUUGUCAUCAAAAUACGUCUAGAUACAUUUCCUUUUAUCCAUUUUGAUGACAAGUAUUUUCGGACGAAGGGAGUAUUUG
rfam:Triticum urartu cultivar G1812 contig619765, whole genome shotgun sequence.